UGGGGAAUCUUGCGCAAUGCGCGAAAGCGUGACGCAGCAACGCCGCGUGGGGGAAGAAGGCCUUCGGGUGGUAAACCCCUUUCAGUUGGGACGAAGCCCCGUCGGUGAAUAGCCGGUUGGAGUGACGGUACCUUCACAAGAAGCCCCGGCUAACUACGUGCCAGCAGCCGCGGUAAUACGUAGGGGGCUAGCGUUGUCCGGAAUCAUUGGGCGUAAAGAGCGUGUAGGCGGCCCGGUAAGUCCGCUGUGAAAGUCGGGGGCUCAACCCUCGAAAGCCGGUGGAUACUGUCGGGCUAGAGUGCGGAAGAGGCGAGUGGAAUUCCUGGUGUAGCGGUGAAAUGCGCAGAUAUCAGGAGGAACACCGAUUGCGAAGGCAGCUCGCUGGGACGUAACUGACGCUGAGACGCGAAAGCGUGGGGAGCAAACAGG
rnacentral:rRNA from 1 species